CUGUGAGAUCUGUUCUAGGGUUAUAGUCGCUGUUGCUCCCUUCUGUUUCUCGAGCCAAGAGCAUCAAGUCAAACAGCAUGGUAAGAGCAUAUGUGCAAGAGCAUGUGUACAAGCAUCCAUGGGAGAGGGUAACUUCUGCAUCUUGGCGCAAGUUUACUGACCCUGAGAACAAGCGGAUUCUAUCCCAUAUCCUUGAAGUCGACACUCUGAACUGGAAGCUUGAUCGGGAAUCUGGGAAACUUUACACAACUCGUGCUGUUACAGUGCAUGCUCCUGGACCAUGGUUCAUCCGUAAAAUUAUUGGUCAGGACAUUUGUCAUUGUGUUGAAUCAACAGUUGUUGAUGCUCAAACUCAGUCAAUGCAGCUUACCAGUCGUAACAUCAGUCUCCAGAAGUUCAUAGAAGUUGAGGAGAAGAUUCGCUACAAACCUCACCCUGAUAAUCCUAGUGAGUGGACACUUUGUCAGCAGGAGACAAGUAUACGGAUCAAGCCAUUAUCUGCGUUGGCAUCAAUGGCAGAGAAGAUAGAACAACGUUGUGUUGAGAAGUUCU
rnacentral:misc_RNA from 1 species